rnacentral:rRNA from 1 species
UACGUAGGGGGCAAGCGUUGUUCGGAUCUAUUGGGCGUAAAGAGCGUGUAGGCGGCCAGACAGGUCCGUUGUGAAAACUCGAGGCUCAACCUCGAGACGCCGAUGGAAACCGUCUGGCUAGAGUCCGGAAGAGGAGAGUGGAAUUCCUGGUGUAGCGGUGAAAUGCGCAGAUAUCAGGAAGAACACCCGUGGCUAAGGCGGCUCUCUAGUACGGUACUGACGCUGAGACGCGAAAGCGUGGGGAGCGAACAGG